rnacentral:lncRNA from 1 species
GCAGGACUCAGGCUAUUUCCUUUCCAUUUGAUAUCUGUGUGAUGUGAGCAUCAUGCUGCUCUUUUAAGGAUUUAAUCCAGGUUAUACAGGGCUCUUUUGCUUUGAAAAUGAGAUGGUUUAUAGAAUUUUUUCCACUUCCAAAUAAAUUAAUAGGUGUGUAGCCACUUAUUAGCUAGGUCGAGAAGUUUUUAUUCAAAAUAAUUUUGAAAGUUUCAGUCUGGUAAAAACGUCUUUCCCAUUUGAUGUAUACAUGUAUAGUGAAAGUUUACUUGUAAAGAUGCUCAUCGUUUCAUGUAAUCAAACGAAUAUUUACGUGGUAACUCUCCAAGAGAUGUGUAGGAUUUUCAUUGUCUUGUGCCCAUUAAAAUCAUCAACUGAAAUGGAACAGAUAAAUAAGCGGUGGAAGAUGCUAGGAGGUAAUUUGCUUUGGAACUUGCAUAGGUUCUUAAUAACAUAACGCAUUGAUAGGAAAGCAUCUGGAGAAACGUGUUACUGAACUCAAGUCCAUGUGGCAGACCCACAGUGAGACCAAACAGUAUUGAAAUGUUGGAGUUUGGAGCAGAGAAAGAUUUAUUGAAGGGCUGUGCAUGGAGACUGGUGGCUUGUGCCCAAAAAGCCCCAAACUCCCUGAAGGCUUUCAGGAAAGCUCUUCGAAAGGCAAGGUGAGGGAGGGCCCUGGUUAACUGUUGCAAAUUUCUCAGGCAUCCGAUCCUUUCUUCUUGUAGCUGUCCACAUAGGUCAGGUCAUGUCAUGAUGGUCCUGUAAACCUCCAACAAAACCAAUGUUAUUCUCUGUUCUGCAACUUUUUAUCUAAAACUGUAAUAGUCUUAAAGGCCAUAGACUUAAGAAUAGGCUAUCCUAUAUAUUUCAAGCUGUAGGCAGCAUCCUUUUGUAAAAGGUGCAGAGCCAGGAUGAUUAAGCACAAGUGACAGAGGACAAAGAUUAAAGUAAGGUUAAAAUAAAAGGAACAGGUCUAGGAGUUCCCGAUGUGGCUCAGUGGGUUAAGAAUCCAUCUAGUAUCCAUGAGGAUGUGGGUUUGAUGCCUGGCCUUGCUCAGUGGGUUAAGGAUCCGGUGUUGUCGCAAGCUGCCAAGUAGAUUGCUGAUGCAGCUUGGAUCUGGUGUUGCUGUUGCAUAGGCCAGCAUCUGCAGCCUUGAAUCAACCCCUAGUUGUGAACUUCCAUGUGCCGCAGGUGCGGCCCUAAAAUUAAAAAAAUUAAAAAUAAAAAUAAAUUUUUUUAAAGAAACAGGUCUAACAUCGAGUCAGAUUUUUUCUUUCCUAUUACAAACUUAUAGGUAGAACAUUUUGAGUUCUGCAGAACUCAGCUUGCCUGGUAAGUCAAGGAAAUUUCAAACAGGAAGAAAAAUAUUUCUGAGCCAUAGAGAUAAAUUCUGAGGGAAGCUAAAAUUUGUUGGUUGAAGUAAAGUGGUGUUAAGUAAUUUUCAUGUGGAUUUCUAUAGAAUUUUUCUCACUUAUUUCUCUUGAACCUUGGAAACCAUCCCCAAAAUGGUGUUAAAUUGGGAAAAUGUUAGAAAUAAUUGAAUGUGUGAUUAAAUUGACCUCAAAGCUACUGAUGGGGAGUCCGGUUAUUGCUCAGCAGAAAUGAAUCUGACUGGUAUCCAUGAGGAUGCAGGUUCCAUCCCCGGCCUUGCUUAUGGGUUAAGGAUCCGACGUUGCCGUGAGCUGUGGUGUAAGUCGCAGAUGUGGCUCGGAUCCUGCAUUGCUGUGGCUCUGGCAUAGGCCGGCGUCUACAGCUUGGAUUCAAUCCCUAGCCUGGGAACCUCCAUAUGCUCCCAGAGCGGCCCAAGAAAUGGCAAAAAGAAAAAAAAAAAAAUUAAGCAAAAGGUACAAAGAGAUUAUCAUACAAAGUGAAGUAAGUCAGAGAAAGACAAAUACCAUAUAUUACCUAUAUGUGGAAUCUAAAAAAAGAACUUACUUACAAACCAGAAAUAGAUUCACAGACAUGGAAAACAAACUUACAUUUACCAAAAGGAAUAGUAGGGGUGGGGGAAAAUUAAUUAGAAGUUUGCAAUUAAAAUAUACACACUACUAUAUAUAAAAUAGAUAACAAAGAAUUACUGUAUAGCACAGGGAACUAUACUCAAUAUCUCUUAAUAACCUACAAGGGAAAAGAAUCUAAAUAAGAAAGAGGCCUGGGUCACUGCUGUGACACAGUUUCAGUCCCUGGUCUGAGAACUUCCACAUGCCACAGGUACAG